GUGCACCAGGCGCGAAACCUCCGCAAUACACGAAAGUGUGACGGGGCCAUCCCGAGUGCCGUCCGCUGAGGACGGCUUUUCCCCAGUGUACAUAGCUGGGGGAAUAAGGAGAGGGCAAGCCUGGUGUCAGCCGCCGCGGUAAUACCAGCUCUCCGAGUGGUGGGGACGCUUAUUGGGCCUAAAGCAUCCGUAGCCGGCUGGGCAAGUCCUCCGUUAAAUCCAACGAUUCAAUCGUUGGGCUGCGGGGGAUACUGUCCAGCUUGGGGGCGGGAGAGGCCGACGGUAUUCCCCGGGGUAGGGGUGAAAUCCUAUAAUCCCGGGAGGACCACCAGUGGCGAAGGCUGUCGGCUAGAACGCGCCCGACGGUGAGGGAUGAAAGC
rnacentral:rRNA from 1 species